rnacentral:rRNA from 1 species
UACGUAGGGACCAAGCGUUGUUCGGAUUUACUGGGCGUAAAGGGCGCGUAGGCGGUUCGGUAAGUCACUUGUGAAAUCUCUGAGCUUAACUCAGAACGGCCAAGUGAUACUGCAGUGCUAGAGUGCGGAAGGGGCAAUCGGAAUUCUUGGUGUAGCGGUGAAAUGCGUAGAUAUCAAGAGGAACACCGGAGGUGAAGACGGGGUGCUGGGCCGACACUGACGCUGGAGCGCGAAGGCCAGGGGAGCAAACGGG